GACGAACGCUGGCGGCGUGCUUAACACAUGCAAGUCGAACGGAAAGGCCCUGCUUUUGUGGGGUGCUCGAGUGGCGAACGGGUGAGUAACACGUGAGUAACCUGCCCUUGACUUUGGGAUAACUUCAGGAAACUGGGGCUAAUACCGGAUAGGAGCUCCUGCUGCAUGGUGGGGGUUGGAAAGUUUCGGCGGUUGGGGAUGGACUCGCGGCUUAUCAGCUUGUUGGUGGGGUAGUGGCUUACCAAGGCUUUGACGGGUAGCCGGCCUGAGAGGGUGACCGGCCACAUUGGGACUGAGAUACGGCCCAGACCCCAACGGGAGGCAGCAGUGGGGAAUAGUGCACAAUGGGCGGAAGCCUGAUGCAGCAACGCCGCGUGCGGGAUAACGGCCUUCGGGUUGUAAACCGCUUUCGCCUGUGACGAAGCGUGAGUGACGGUAAUGGGUAAAGAAGCACCGGCUAACUACGUG
rnacentral:rRNA from 1 species